UUGCAGUUAAAAAGCUCGUAGUUGGACUUGUGUGCGCUGUCCGCGGGUGGCCUGCGCCCAAAAGGGCGUUUCGGUUCGGCCCCGGUGGCGCCUUGAAAUCUGCAGCUGGGGGGACGUUGGCCUUAACUGGUCGGCGACCGCACGCCGGCUGCUCGGUUACUGUGAGAAAAUUAGAGUGUUCAAGGCAGGCAUUGGGUGCAAUUGAAUACAUUAGCAUGGAAUAAUAAAAUAUGGCUCCUGCCGUAUUUUGUUGGUUUUGGCUGGUGGGAGUAAUGAUUGAUAGGGACGGUUGGGGGUGCUAGUAUUGAGCGGCCAGAGGUGAGAUUCAUGGAUUCGCUCAAGACUAACUUAUGCGAAAGCAUUCACCAAGGACGUCCUCUUUAAUCAAGAACGAAAGUUGGGGGAUCGAAGACGAUCAGAUACCGUCGUAGUCUCAACCAUAAACUAUGUCGACUUGGGAUCGGCGGUAGUUUUUUCAUUAAGACACUGUCGGGACCACGGGAGAAAUCAAAGUGUCUGGACUCUGGGGGAAGUAUGGUCGCAAGGCUGAAACUUGAAGGAAUUGACGGAAGGGCACCACCAGGAGUGGAGCCUGCGGCUUAAUUUGACUCAACACGGGGAAACUUACCAGGUCCAGAGAUGUAGAGGAUUGACAGAUUGAAGCUCUUUCUUGAUCACUUCGGUGGUGGUGCAUGGCCGUUCUUAGUUGGUGGAGUGAUUUGUCUGGUUAAUUCCGUUAACGAACGAGACCUCAGCCUGCUAGUGUAGUCGGCUGGAUUGCCUUUGGCGAUCCGUGAUUUCGACUUCUUAGAGGGACAAUCGACGCGCAGUCGAUGGAAGUUUGAGGCAAUAACAGGUCUGUGAUGCCCUUAGAUGUUCUGGGCCGCACGCGCGCUACACUGCUGGGCUCAGCGAGUUUUACUUGGCCGAGAGGCCCGGUUAAUCUUGUGAAAUCCCAGCGUUCUUGGGCUCGCCUCCUGCAACUGGAGGCGCCAACGAGGAAUUCCUAGUAGACGCAGGUCAUCAACCUGCAUCGAUUACGUCCCUGCCCUUUGUACACACCGCCCGUCGUUCCAUAAGAGUGAGGCAUCCGGUGAAUUCUCGGGAGAGCCUGGGCGUGGCCAGCAAUGGUCUGCUCGGGUUUGAACUUGCAUAAACUUGGUGCCUAUGAUUAGGG
rnacentral:rRNA from 1 species